rnacentral:rRNA from 2 species
UGCAGUCGAGCGAAUUGAUGGGAGCUUGCUCCCUGAUAUUAGCGGCGGACGGGUGAGUAACACGUGGGUAACCUGCCUGUAAGAUUGGGAUAACUCCGGGAAACCGGAGCUAAUACCGGAUAAUAUUUUGAACCGCAUGGUUCAAAAUUGAAAGAUGGUUUCGGCUAUCACUUACAGAUGGACCCGCGGCGCAUUAGCUAGUUGGUGAGGUAACGGCUCACCAAGGCAACGAUGCGUAGCCGACCUGAGAGGGUGAUCGGCCACACUGGGACUGAGACACGGCCCAGACUCCUACGGGAGGCAGCAGUAGGGAAUCUUCCGCAAUGGACGAAAGUCUGACGGAGCAACGCCGCGUGAACGAUGAAGGCCUUCGGGUCGUAAAGUUCUGUUGUUAGGGAAGAACAAGUACCAGAGUAACUGCUGGUACCUUGACGGUACCUAACCAGAAAGCCACGGCUAACUACGUGCCAGCAGCCGCGGUAAUACGUAGGUGGCAAGCGUUGUCCGGAAUUAUUGGGCGUAAAGCGCGCGCAGGUGGUUUCUUAAGUCUGAUGUGAAAGCCCACGGCUCAACCGUGGAGGGUCAUUGGAAACUGGGGAACUUGAGUGCAGAAGAGGAAAGUGGAAUUCCAAGUGUAGCGGUGAAAUGCGUAGAGAUUUGGAGGAACACCAGUGGCGAAGGCGACUUUCUGGUCUGUAACUGACACUGAGGCGCGAAAGCGUGGGGAGCGAACAGGAUUAGAUACCCUGGUAGUCCACGCCGUAAACGAUGAGUGCUAAGUGUUAGAGGGUUUCCGCCCUUUAGUGCUGCAGCUAACGCAUUAAGCACUCCGCCUGGGGAGUACGGUCGCAAGACUG